rnacentral:rRNA from 1 species
GACGAACGCUGGCGGCGUGCUUAACACAUGCAAGUCGAACGAUGAAGCACCAGCUUGCUGGUGUGGAUUAGUGGCGAACGGGUGAGUAACACGUGAGUAACCUGCCCCUCACUCUGGGAUAAGCCUGGGAAACUGGGUCUAAUACUGGAUACGACCGAUCUCCGCAUGGAGUGUUGGUGGAAAGUUUUUGUGGUGGGGGAUGGACUCGCGGCCUAACAGCUUGUUGGUGGGGUAAUGGCCUACCAAGGCGACGACGGGUAGCCGGCCUGAGAGGGCGACCGGCCACACUGGGACUGAGACACGGCCCAGACUCCUACGGGAGGCAGCAGUGGGGAAUAUUGCACAAUGGGCGAAAGCCUGAUGCAGCGACGCCGCGUGAGGGAUGACGGCCUUCGGGUUGUAAACCUCUUUCACCAGGGACGAAGCUAACGUGACGGUACCUGGAGAAGAAGCACCGGCUAACUACGUG